rnacentral:lncRNA from 1 species
GCCCCUUCGCAAUAGCAGCGGCUGUGGCCAUGGCGAGGAUGCAACAGUAGCAGCUGCGGCCAUGGCGAGGAUGCCAAAAGGCAGCGCCUGUGGCCACUGGGGUCUGUGCUCUUGACAAGCAGUGUUUCCAGUCUAGCUGUGUCAAAUCGGGUGUGAAGUGUCCUUCUAGGUUCUGGCUGGUAGAGCAGAGGACUGAAAAUCCUCUUUAGUUUCACGCAUGUGAUUCUAAAUCCCAAUUGCGCUAGCUCUGCGGUUUGAUUCCACAACAGAACAAACAAUGAAUGAAUGUGGGCGGUCAACCAGGUAAGCGUCUGCUUUGCCGGAGGAGGAUGGGCUGAGCUGCCGGAG